GAUCUGCUCAUUCAGCCCAGCGCCGUUCUGCAGCGGCAUUGGGACAGGAGCAGCGAUCGCCUGACGUCAUCCAGCAUAUCUGCAUGGUUCACGGAAUAUGUCCGGAAAAGAGAGAGAUACAGUCAUUGAGGAAGAUGAAGAUUCGAAAGACAAAGGAAAUAAAUUAAAAACUGUUGCAGAAUA